UACGAAGGGGGCUAGCGUUGUUCGGAAUUACUGGGCGUAAAGGGCGCGCAGGCGGCUCGUCAAGUCAGGUGUGAAAGCCCCGGGCUCAACCUGGGAAUUGCACUUGGGACUGGCGAGCUCGAGUUCGGGAGAGGUGAGUGGAAUUCCCAGUGUAGAGGUGAAAUUCGUAGAUAUUGGGAAGAACACCGGUGGCGAAGGCGGCUCACUGGACCGAUACUGACGCUGAGGCGCGAAAGCGUGGGGAG
rnacentral:rRNA from 1 species